rnacentral:tRNA from 1 species
CAGAUAGAAGCCAAAUGGUCAGGCACUUUCUUUGGGUGAAAGACCUAGUUAGUUCGAUUCUAUCCUAUCUGA